GGUGACGGAUAUCUUUCAGAGUCUAGUCUCUGUCUGUCAGUGUUUGUUCAGUUCUUUGUUGUUGUUUUGGAUUGUGGUUUGUUACUGCAUCUGAACAAUUUAAGCAAAUUAUCUGGUCAUUUUUACGUUGAGUCAAGCAACUGCUCCUCCGUACUCUAUCUGUUGAUAGUACUUUCGCGAAAGGACGCUUUAUUACUUGUGUUGUGUGUGUGUACGUGCUUUAAAAUGACGAGUUUGCAAUGCAUCAAUUGCAACGUUCGCUUGUCGCGAAUACGAAGGCACGCUUUAUCCGAUGAGAGUGAAGAUAUCGUCAAUACUAUUCGGCUGUGGACAUAUCCUAGAGAUAUAACACCUGCUGACCAUGUUUGCCGCACGGAACAAAUAUUUGAAUGAUCUGCAAGUAGUUGUUCUGGGUCUGGGUAUUUCUGCACAUAAGUUUCUAUGUUGAUGAAAUAAUACUAAGAAUAGAUUAAAUAAUUAUAAGAACAAUAAAAUAGAUGUAUAUUCCUACAAAAACAAA
rnacentral:lncRNA from 1 species